rnacentral:rRNA from 1 species
AAAACAUGUCCUUUAGAUAGUUUAAUUAAAGGUUUGACCUGCCCAGUGUAGUUAUAAACGGCCGCAGUAUUCUGACUGUGCGAAGGUAGCAUAAUCAUUUGUCUCUUAAUUAGGGGCUGGUAUAAAUGGUUGGACGAGGGAUUGACUUUCUUUAUUCAAUUUUUAUGAAUUUGAUCUUUAGGUUAAAAAGCCUAUAUUUUUUUGCAAGACGAGAAGACCCUAUAGAAUUUUAUUAGUUUAGAUUAAUUUGUUAUUUUGUUAAUUGGUUAAUGGGUUGUUUUACACUAAUUUUGUUGGGGCGACAGUGAAAAAUACUUAACUUUCAUUAUUAAUUAAUCAUAGAUUAAUGUGUUUAUUGAUCCUUAACUUGGGAUUAUAAGAUUAAAUUAUCUUAGGGAUAACAGCGUAAUUUUUUCGGAGAGUUCUUAUCGAUGAAUAAAGUUUGCGACCUCGAUGUUGGAUUAAAGUGAGUUCUGGUGUAGAAGCUAGUAUAAC